UCUUUUUUUUUUUUUUUUCUGUCUUCCUUUGUCCUUCCUACCCUUACAGCCUUUACCUGCGUCUUCUCCUUCCAGCAGAUAAUAGCCGAAGUCUGGUGGGGAUCCAGUUACAUCUCCGAAAAUAGAAAACGGACUUAGAGGAAUUCCUUCUGUGCCAGCACAACAUCAGGUGUGCCCUGUCACUCAGCUUUAACACAGGUUUGCAGUCUUGGAAGUGUGAGAGAGGCUGAGGAAGAAUGAUCAGACACGUUGUGAAGGAUAAUGGUCUGAAUGAAUGAUGUAUGUCAGUCACACAUCUAGGUGGCUAUCCCAGUGCCUGUUUCUACCUCUUUCUUUCAGGUUGCUUGGACUUUAAGAGUUCUCCAGAAUCCCACGAGCCCACACUGGCCAGUGGCUCCAGCGGUCCGGUCCG
ensembl:processed_transcript Foxl2os forkhead box L2, opposite strand